rnacentral:rRNA from 1 species
CCUACGGGCGGCUGCAGUGGGGAAUAUUGCACAAUGGGCGAAAGCCUGAUGCAGCAACGCCGCGUGAGCGAUGAAGGCCUUUGGGUCGUAAAGCUCUGUCCUUGGGGAAGAAAAAAAUGACGGUACCCUUGGAGGAAGCCCCGGCUAACUACGUGCCAGCAGCCGCGGUAAUACGUAGGGGGCGAGCGUUAUCCGGAAUUAUUGGGCGUAAAGAGUGCGUAGGUGGUUUUGUAAGCGCGGGGUGAAAGGCUAUGGCUCAACCAUAGUAAGCCUUGCGAACUGUGAGACUUGAGUGCAGGAGAGGAAAGCGGAAUUCCUAGUGUAGCGGUGAAAUGCGUAGAUAUUAGGAGGAACACCAGUGGCGAAGGCGGCUUUCUGGACUGUAACUGACACUGAGGCACGAAAGCGUGGGGAGCAAACAGGCUUAGAUACCCGGGUAGUC